rnacentral:rRNA from 1 species
GGGUGCGAUCAUACCAACACUAAUGCAUCGGAUCCCAUUAGAACUCUGUAGUUAAGUGUGCUUAGGUGAGAGUAGUACUAGGAUGGGUGAUCUCCUAGGAAGUCCUCGUGUUGCACUCG